GAACGCUCUUGCGGUUUCGGCCGCAAGGGAGUGGCGGACGGGUGAGUAGCGCGUGGGAACCUGCCCCUUUGUGGGGGAUAACCGAGGGAAACUUCGGCUAAUACCGCAUGCGCCCGCGGGGGAGACCUUGCGGGGAAAGAUUUAUCGCAGAGGGAGGGGCCCGCGUCGGAUUAGGUAGUUGGUGGGGUAACGGCCUACCAAGCCGGUGAUCCGUAGCUGGUCUGAGAGGAUGAUCAGCCUCACUGGGACUGAGACACGGCCCAGACUCCUACGGGAGGCAGCAGUGGGGAAUAUUGGACAAUGGGCGCAAGCCUGAUCCAGCCAUGCCGCGUGGGUGAUGAAGGCCCUAGGGUUGUAAAGCCCUUUCGGCGGGGAAGAUAAUGACGGUACCCGCAGAAGAAGCCCCGGCUAACUUCGUG
rnacentral:rRNA from 1 species